rnacentral:rRNA from 1 species
GAUGAACGCUGGCGGCGUGCCUAAUACAUGCAAGUCGAGCGAACAGACGAGGAGCUUGCUCCUCUGACGUUAGCGGCGGACGGGUGAGUAACACGUGGACAACCUACCUAUAAGACUGGGAUAACUUCGGGAAACCGGAGCUAAUACCGGAUAAUAUCUUGAACCGCAUGGUUCAAUAGUGAAAGACGGUUUUGCUGUCACUUAUAGAUGGAUCCGCGCCGCAUUAGCUAGUUGGUAAGGUAACGGCUUACCAAGGCAACGAUGCGUAGCCGACCUGAGAGGGUGAUCGGCCACACUAGAACGGAGACACGGUCCAGACUCCUACGGGAGGCAGCAGUAGGGAAUCUUCCGCAAAGGGCGAAAGCCUGACGGAGCAACGCCGCGUGAGUGAUGAAGGUCUUCGGAUCGUAAAACUCUGUUAUUAGGGAAGAACAAAUGUGUAAGUAACUAUGCACGUCGUGACGGUACCGAAUCAGAAAGCCACGGCUAACUACGUG